CUGCAUGGCUGUCGUCAGCUCGUGUCGUGAGAUGUGGUUAAGUCCGCAACGAGCGCAACCCUCGCCUUAGUUGCCAGCAUUCAGUUGGGCACUCUAGAGGGACUGCCGGUGUCAAACCGGAGGAAGGUGGGGAUGACGUCAAGUCCUCAUGGCCUUUAUGUCUAGGGCUACACACGUACUACAAUGGCCGGUACAAAGGGCAGCCACUCAGCGAUGAGGCGCUAAUCCCAUAAAGCCGGUCUCAGUCCGGAUCGCAGUCUGCAACUCGACUGCGUGAAGUUGGAAUCGCUAGUAAUCGUAGAUCAGCAUGCUACGGUGAAUACGUUCCCGGGCCUU
rnacentral:rRNA from 1 species